ACUUAAAAAUGAAUUUUAGUUCAACUAAAAGCACAAACACAUCAAAAGUUAAAUAUGCUUUUAUUAUAAUUAAUUGAGGUACAGCCCAAUUAAUAAAGGAUACAACCUUAACAAAUGAAUAAAGAUUAUAACAUAAAAAAUUUGCACUGUAGGCCUAAAAGCAGCCACCAAAAAAGCGUCAAAGCUUAACUUUUAAACACUUAUUAUUCUAAAAAAUAAUCUUACUUCCUCCUUCCCAUAAGUAAAUCUAUAAGAUAGAAACAUUAAUGUUAAAAUAAGUAACAAGGUCUCCACCUCUAUAAUGUAAGUGUAAAAAUUUAACAUAAAAUAUUUUAUGCAACAAGAAAUCUAAAUAUUAUAAAACGUUAACCCGACACAGGAACAUUCAAGAAAGAUUAAAAAUUUGAAAAGGAACUCGGCAAAAGAGGGCUUCGCCUGUUUACCAAAAACAUCGCCUCCUGUAGAAUUAAUAUAAGAGGUACUGCCUGCCCAGUGACACCAUUUAACGGCUGCGGUAUAAUGACCGUACAAAGGUAGCAUAAUCACUUGUCUCUUAAAUGGGGACCCGUAUGAAUGGCAAAACGAAAGCCCAACUGUCUCCUCAAACUAAUCAGUGAAAUUGAUAUUUUCGUGCAAAAGCGGAAAUAAUUGUAUAAGACGAGAAGACCCUGCAGAGCUUAAAACCUAAGUUAAUAAAGUAUAUAUCUAAAGGCUUUAGGUUGGGGCGACCACGGAGAACAGUAAAUCCUCCGAGAUAUAUGAUUUAGAAAAACACUUCAAAAUAACACUACAAUUGAUAUAAUUGACCCAAUAAUUGAUCAACGAACCAAGUUACCCCAGGGAUAACAGCGCAAUCCUCUCACAGAGUUCCUAUCGACGAGCGGGUUUACGACCUCGAUGUU
rnacentral:rRNA from 1 species